GGGCAUAAAGCCCAAAAUCGUACUGUUUUAGUACCAGUAUUUAAACCAAAUUUUAGUUUUUUAUUUUUUUUUUUCAACACUUCUAAAAAAAACAAGGAAAGAAAACUCCCAAACUCCCUCAAACUCUUGACUUUUGGCCAAGGAGCCGCCGAUGAGCCUCCGCCGUGGCUCCGCUGUAGGUGGUGGUCGGAGGCGCACAAAUCUCGGCCUUUUCAACCCUUUUCGAAGCUGAUCGCCUAUAGAACGUGGAUUUGAGACCAGAAUCCCCGAAAGACGGACCAAACUCGGUGAAGAGCAAGGAGAAACAUUUCGUUUCCCUCCCUCUCCGGCGUAGUGCAGUAUACCAUCGGCUUCCUUUUUUAGCCGAAUAAAGGUUCGACUGACUCGGAUAUGGCCGUACAGAGAUGCACGUGGUGGCGCGCGUGGAGAUUUUUAAAUUUUUUAAAAAUUUUAAAUCAGUAAAAGUAUAAUUACAAUUUGGCCCCUCUAAAAUUAUAAAAAUUUAAUUUAAUCCUUUAUAAAUAAUAAAGAUAUAGACUAUAAAAAAUUAAAAUUUCAUUCGGCCCCCCAAAAUAUUGUUCUGACUUCGCCUCUGGUAUGAAGCAUGUAAGUCUUUUGUUAAGUUUUACGUUGACUUUGGAAAAUGAUGUUUUUGCAUCAAAUUCACAUUUAAAGCGUUGUUAAGUUGAUGUAUUUGUUGCCGGUUGAAUUUUAGUUCGAUUGACAUCGAUAUUAUUAUCAGUGCAGGAGAGUGUAGGUUCGAAUAUGCUGAAGCACAUUAUCUUCUUAUUUGAGGGUUGGAGUGAAGCUUUAGGUAGUUCUAAUCAUUGUAUUAAAAAGAACAAAUAUGUUAAUAAUCUAUAAUUAGAUUAAUGUUGAAAAAAAAAGUUUUACGUCUUUA